UACAGAGGGCCCGAGCGUUGUUCGGAUUCAUUGGGCGUAAAGGGUGCGUAGGUGGCGCCGUAAGUGGGGUGUGAAAUCCCGGGGCUUAACCCCGGGACUGCAUUCCAUACUGCGGUGCUUGAGGACUGGAGAGGAGACUGGAAUUUACGGUGUAGCAGUGAAAUGCGUAGAGAUCGUAAGGAAGACCAGUGGCGAAGGCGGGUCUCUGGACAGUUCCUGACACUGAGGCACGAAGGCCAGGGGAGCAAACGGG
rnacentral:rRNA from 1 species